UGGGUUGUAGCUCAGUGGUAGAGUGCUCACCUUGCAUGUGAGAGGCGCUGGCUGGGUUGGAUCCUCAGCACCGCAU
rnacentral:tRNA from 1 species